AGUUUACAACUCCCAAACCCCUGUGAACAUACCAAUUGUUGCCUCGGCGGAUCAGCCCGCUCCCGGUAAAACGGGACGGCCCGCCAGAGGACCCCUAAACUCUGUUUCUAUAUGUAACUUCUGAGUAAAACCAUAAAUAAAUCAAAACUUUCAACAACGGAUCUCUUGGUUCUGGCAUCGAUGAAGAACGCAGCAAAAUGCGAUAAGUAAUGUGAAUUGCAGAAUUCAGUGAAUCAUCGAAUCUUUGAACGCACAUUGCGCCCGCCAGUAUUCUGGCGGGCAUGCCUGUUCGAGCGUCAUUUCAACCCUCAAGCCCCCGGGUUUGGUGUUGGGGAUCGGCGAGCCCUUGCGGCAAGCCGGCCCCGAAAUCUAGUGGCGGUCUCGCUGCAGCUUCCAUUGCGUAGUAGUAAAACCCUCGCAACUGGUACGCGGCGCGGCCAAGCCGUUAAACCCCCAACUUCUGAAUGUUGACCUCGGAUCAGGUAGGAAUACCCGCUGAACUUAAGCAUAUCAAAA
rnacentral:rRNA from 1 species